rnacentral:rRNA from 1 species
AGAGUUGAUCCUGGCUCAGGAUGAACGCUAGCGACAGGCUAACACAUGCAAGUCGAGGGGCAGCAUAGAAGUAGCAAUACUUGGUGGCGACCGGCGCACGGGUGAGUAACGCGUAUGCAACCUACCUAUCAGAGGGGAAUAACCCGGCGAAAGUCGGACUAAUACCGCAUAAAACAGGGGCACCGCAUGGUGAUAUUUGUUAAAGAAAUUCGCUGAUAGAUGGGCAUGCGUUCCAUUAGGUAGUUGGUGAGGUAACGGCUCACCAAGCCGACGAUGGAUAGGGGAACUGAGAGGUUGGUCCCCCACACUGGUACUGAGACACGGACCAGACUCCUACGGGAGGCAGCAGUGAGGAAUAUUGGUCAAUGGGCGGGAGCCUGAACCAGCCAAGUCGCGUGAAGGAAGAAGGAUCUAUGGUUCGUAAACUUCUUUUGCAGGGGAAUAAAGUGCAGGACGUGUCCUGUUUUGUAUGUACCCUGAGAAUAAGGAUCGGCUAACUCCGUGCCAGCAGCGGC